GUUAUUUGCUAAUAGGGUAAAAUUUCACAUUCAGAAAAGUAUUAAAUAAAUGUCAGUUCUUAUGAUCUUAUGAUGAUUUUGUCAGAGAAAGUAGAUGAUCUUCAGAUGGAAUGUAUACAAUCAACAGGGAAACUUGGAAUUUCUCACGUGGAAUUACCUCCUAAGCCAUGUAAAGGUGAUGUUACUGGACUUGCUGAAUAAUUAGCGGAGAAUCAAAAUAAAAGGAGAAGUUGUACAUAAUCAACAGAUAUUGCACCUGUCAGAGGAAAACUCCUGGAUUUAAAGAUGAAAUCUACUAAAAGACUGGUGCUAUUUGCCAAAGGCAUAAACUCAUAUGUAACCCAGGAGUCAAAGAAGCUGGAGAUCUGACAGAUGGUGGAAGAGGUGGGAGCCCAGCGAUUGCUUUCCACCAAGAAGGUACAUCACAGACUUCUGGAGCUUAGGAUCACUGCACAGCAAUUCAGCACUACACCUGGGGCCACUUUAAACAGUGAAAUCUCAACAAAAAGAAGAAAAAUGUGGAUAAUGUGGCAGUAAACAGUCUAUGAGAAGAUUUUCUACUGCAUCUUGAGAAUGGAGCAUAAGUCAAACUUCUUGGAAACCCUUUAAGUAAUUAACCUAUUAGGAAUGACCGUAACAGUAUUUGAUCCCAGGACAACAUUGCCAUUGACUAUCAGAAGAAACCACAGGAACCCACCAAUUCAGAUUGGACAAAAGCCAUUAACAACCAGUUCAGUCAACAGUUUAUCAGAAGAGGAAGGCAAUACAGGGGUGCAUCACAUUAGAGAAUAUAAACACAAUAAAACAGAAUAAAAGUGUGUGUAUUUGUUAUUAUCACUACAUGCCGGCAAUUCUAAACAAUGUCUGUGAUAAAAUAUUCCUUCCAGCUAGACUGCUUGCAAUGCCCUAGUCCAGCCACAGUAUAGGUAAGUAUUAGUUUCAUAUCAGCUCUUUUACCAAAAUAUGUAAAGUGUUUUUAAGCUCACACUAUGUUUCUGGCAUCUUUCUUUUUUGAAUUUAAGCACAAAAAAUAAAAUAUACAGAUACAUACAGACAUAUACUGAGGAGAAAUUAUUUACAAUGCUGACACAUUUCAAGAUUCUGGAAAAUUAAGAGAAAGGGAGAGUUAAUAUUCUAGUACAUAUACUCUGUGUCUGGUUAACAUCCCAGGAACUUUACAUAUUUCAACUAUGUAAACUUUACUAUAAUAAAAUUAAUUAUUAUAAAUAAUGCCCAUUUUAUAAACUGAAUAAAC